rnacentral:rRNA from 1 species
GACGAACGCUGGCGGCGCGCCUAACACAUGCAAGUCGAACGGAACGAAUUUCUAGAAGUUUUCGAAUGGAAGGGAAUAAGUUUAGUGGCGGACGGGGGAGUAACGCGUGAGUAACCUGCCUUUUAGAGGGGGAUAACGUUUAGAAAUGAACGCUAAUACCGCAUAACAUAUAAGUUUCGCAUGGGACUGAUAUCAAAGGAGAAAUCCGCUAAAAGAUGGACUCGCGUCCAAUUAGCUAGUUGGUAGGGUAAAGGCCUACCAAGGCGACGAUUGGUAGCCGGACUGAGAGGUUGACCGGCCACAUUGGGACUGAGACACGGCCCAG